UAAGGAAUAUUGGUCAAUGGAGGCAACUCUGAACCAGCCAUGCCGCGUGCAGGAAGAAGGCCCUAUGGGUCGUAAACUGCUUUUGAACAAGAGAAAACCCCGGUACGUGUACUGGGUUGAUAGUAUUGUUAGAAUAAGCAUCGGCUAACUUCGUGCCAGCAGCCGCGGUAAGACGAAGGAUGCAAGCGUUAUCCGGAUUCAUUGGGUUUAAAGGGUGCGUAGGCGGACUGAUAAGUCAGUGGUGAAAUCUCUCGGCUUAACCGAGAAACUGCCAUUGAUACUGUUAGUCUAGAGUACAGAUGAUGUGGGCGGAAUAUGACAUGUAGUGGUGAAAUACUUAGAUAUGUCAUAGAACACCGAUUGCGAAGGCAGCUCACAAAACUGUAACUGACACUGAGGCACGAAAGUGCGGGGAUCAAACAGGAUUAGAUACCCCGGUAGUCCCUGAGCGGGCUGGCAAGGCGCAU
rnacentral:rRNA from 1 species